rnacentral:misc_RNA from 1 species
UCCGACUUAACGUCGGCAGUCUCGUUAGAGUGCCCGGCCGAACCGCUGGCAACUAACGACAAGGGUUGCGCUCGUUGCGGAACUUAACCCAACAUCUCACGACACGAGCUGACGACAGCCAUGCAGCACCUGGACACCCGGUUCCCUUGCGGGCACAUCCACAUCUCUACGGCAUUCACUAACUUUCAAGCCCAGGUAAGGUUCCUCGCGUAUCAUCGAAUUAAACCACAUGCUCCUCCGCUUGUGCGGGCCCCCGUCAAUUCCUUUGAGUUUCAACCUUGCGACCGUACUCCCCAGGCGGGAUACUUAAUGCGUUAGCUUCGCCACGAAGGGAUUC